AUCUACAGUCAUACCACCUUGAACACCAUAGAUUUUGUAUAAUCUCUGAAGCUAAACUGUGUGUGGUUAGUACUUGGAUAGGAGACCAGGCAGGGAAUGCCAGAAGCUGCUC
ensembl:rRNA 5S_rRNA 5S ribosomal RNA